rnacentral:ncRNA from 2 species
GGGGAAGCCGGUGCGAUUCCGGCGCUGACCCGCAACCGUGAGCGCGCCCCGCGGGGCGUACGAGCCGGAACACCC